rnacentral:rRNA from 1 species
CACGUAGGGUGCGAGCGUUUGUCCGGAAUUAUUGGGCGUAAAGAGCUCGUAGGCGGUUUGUCGCGUCGACUGUGAAAACCUACAGCUUAACUGUGGGCUUGCAGUCGAUACGGGCAGACUUGAGUUCGGUAGGGGAGACUGGAAUUCCUGGUGUAGCGGUGAAAUGCGCAGAUAUCAGGAGGAACACCGGUGGCGAAGGCGGUUCUCUGGGCAUUACCUGACGCUGAGGAGCGAAAGUGUGGGGAGCGAACAGG